rnacentral:rRNA from 1 species
CCUACGGGCGGCAGCAGUGGGGAAUAUUGGACAAUGGGCGAAAGCCUGAUCCAGCCAUGCCGCGUGUGUGAAGAAGGCCUUCGGGUUGUAAAGCACUUUCAGUGGGGAAGAAAGCCUUGGGGCUAAUACCCUCGAGGAAGGACAUCACCCACAGAAGAAGCACCGGCUAACUCCGUGCCAGCAGCCGCGGUAAUACGGAGGGUGCGAGCGUUAAUCGGAAUUACUGGGCGUAAAGCGCGCGUAGGCGGUCUGAUAAGCCGGUUGUGAAAGCCCCGGGCUCAACCUGGGAACGGCAUCCAGAACUGUCAGGCUAGAGUGCAGGAGAGGAAGGUAGAAUUCCCGGUGUAGCGGUGAAAUGCGUAGAGAUCGGGAGGAAUACCAGUGGCGAAGGCGGCCUUCUGGACUGACACUGACGCUGAGGUGCGAAAGCGUGGGUAGCAAACAGGAUUAGAUACCCUAGUAGUC